AUAUUUUGCAAAUUCAAUCGUAUUUUCGAAACGAAAACUUCCAGCAUUUUCUGAAACGUAAACAACACCGCUUACAAAUCCUUCCUGGGCAAAAAACCGGUAUUAUUAAUAUAAACAAACAUGCUCCGACAAGUUGAUUUGGUUGCGCACAGCAGUGAUAUUUGGACCUUUUAUAUCCCCACUGCUAUUUAAUAUAAGUGCUCAAAUUAUUUUCACCUCAUCCUCAUCUUCUGGUAAAUGGGGCAUUGUUUUAACAGCUUAGAGGGAUGUCAGAGUUGUGCCUCCGUUUAUAUAUUUUAUUUGUUUUUAUUCGCGAUAUGGACCUUUUUUGAGUGUUUUUGCUACGGGAACCCGAAUUCCAGGCAGUAAAGGAACUAACGAUGGAUUGAUUUUUCGAGUGACUGCUGUAGAAAUAGUCAUUGACGGCACUAUGCGGCUUUCGGGUUCCAUUCACCAGCUCCAAAGCCACGAAGUUGGAAAGACAGGAUAGAUUCAAUGUAAGAAAACUUAAUACAUAUUUUCAAAUAAUCUAUAUUUGCAUGGUUAAACUGAAAACACACUUCAUGAUUGCAAUA